rnacentral:rRNA from 1 species
UACGAAGGGUGCAAGCGUUAAUCGGAAUUACUGGGCGUAAAGCGUGCGUAGAUGGCCUGUUAAGUCGGAUGUGAAAGCCCCGGGCUCAACCUGGGAAUGGCAUCCGAUACUGGUGGGCUAGAGUGCGGUAGAGGAGAGCGGAAUUCCCGGUGUAGCGGUGAAAUGCGUAGAGAUCGGGAGGAACAUCCGUGGCGAAGGCGGCUCUCUGGACCAGCACUGACGUUGAGGCACGAAAGCGUGGGGAGCGAUCCGG